CUCUUCAGUCCACAGACCGACGCUCUAUCCACUGAGCCAAACCGGUUUCGGCUCGGCAGGAUUUUUUUUUUUUUUAAAUGAAGUUUCCUGACUCUUUAAAUGUUGAUAACUUAACUAAAGAAAGCACUGUUUGGGUCAAAGUGUGAUUGCAGGCUGCCAGGUACAACCUUUCAGCUAGUCUUUACUGUACAUCUACUAUGUACUUCACAUAGGUUACUCUGUUUUAUUUACUGGGCAUGGCUACCUCCCUCUCCCUGUGGCUCGACCUCUAGUGAUAUGACCUGCUUACCUGCCCAUUUCUUUUCCUUUUUUAAAAAAUUUAUUUUUCAACUU